GGGGUCCCACAUAGAUUAAAGAAGGAAACGAGUGUAAUCGAGAACGUUGGACCUCAAAAAGGGGUGGAUUGUGAGAUCCCACAUCGGUUGGGGAGAAGAAUGAGCAUUCUUUAUAAGGGUGUGGAAACCUCUCCCUAAAGACGCGUUUUAAAACCGUAAGGCUGGCAGCGAUACGUGACGGACUAAAGCGGACAAUUAUCUACUAGGGUGUGAAUAUUGGAGGUAAAG